rnacentral:lncRNA from 1 species
AGUCAUUUGCGCCUUCCUGUUCUCUUUGUUAGCUUCCAUUUUGUGGGUCAGUUUCUCUUCUGCUAUUUCACUGAAGCUGUUCUUUUAUUGAUUUCUGAAGCACUUCUUUCUCCUGCUCUCAUUUUUCAGCAAGCUGCUUCAAGGCCUCAGCUUCGCAGGGCUUGUGUCUUUCUUCUGAAGCUUCUGAUUUAUUCUGAAUUUCCUCCAGGGAAAGAUCUUUCUUCUUUGGAGGGGAAAUAAGGAACUCUGGGAUGGAUUCUUUUGAUGGUAUCUGAGAAUCAGUUCAAAAGCCUAGCCUGAGGCACACUUCUCCAGUGCUUUCACCUGGAUAUCAGAAGUAGCCAUGAUGAAUGAAAGACAAGAGACUGGCAGUGUAUUCUACAAAAUCCACUGGGAUAAGGAAAACUCUGCUAGAUCUGAGCCACCUGACCACACUCUGAGCUGUUUUCUGUAUUUAUAAAAUUUAAGAGUAGUUUAUUAAGUUUCCUAACGUGACUAAAUUUGACUAAACUACAUGACAGGUUUCCUUUUUGUAAGACUGGUGUCAGUUGCAAAUUCAUGAUAUUUUCUUGUGGAAUAUUCCUUUUAUCAUUAAGUAAUGUCUCUCUUUAUCCGUAUUCAUGUUUUUCACUUUAGAGACUAUUCUGUUUGAUUUCAGUAUUGCUCCAUCAUUUUUCCAUGGUUUCUUUUGCUCAACAUUAUGUUUGUGAAAUUUAUCUGUAUCGUUACAUGUAGCUAUAGAUUAUUCAUUUCCAUUUUCACGUUGUUCAUGUCCAUUUUCACUAACGUAUAAUAUUCUGUUGUUUGACCAAUUUAUUCUACAGUGAAUAUACAGUUGGGUCAUUUGUAACUCUUUAUUAUUAUGAAUAUCAAUAUGAAUAUUCUUAGACAUGUCUUUUGGUACACACGUAUCUGUGUUUCAACUGAGUGUAUAUAUCUAGUAGUGGAACUGCUGGCUCAUAGGGUAGGCAUAUGUUUAGCUUAAUGCCAGUUUUUCAAAGUGGUUGUACCCAAUCACAAUCCUACCAUUGGUGAAUGAGCAUUCUUGUGGUCCAUAUCCUUGCCAACACUUGGCAUUGUUAAUCUUUUAAAUUUUAGUCAUUUUAGUGGGUAUAUAAUAGCAAUGCAAUGUGGCAUUAAAUUGCAAUCUCUGAUUAAUAUGGGUACACAUUCAUCUUUUUAUUGUCUGGUUGGAUAUCCUCUUUUGUGGAGUAUCUACUCAAGUAUUUUGCCCUCUUUCAUUUUGGGUUAAUUAUGUUUCUUACUGAUAUAUAGGAAUUCCUGUUAUAUGCUGGAUAUGAACCUUCUGUUUGUUAUAUACGUUGCAAAUAUAUUCCCCCAUUCCGUGGAUUGCCUUUCCACUUUCUUAAUCAUGUCUUUUGCUGAAGAGAAGUACAUUCUAAUACAGUCCAAUUUAUCAGUGUUUUCCAUUACAGCAGGUGAUUUUUUGUCCUGUUCAUAAACUUUCCCUGUCCUAAGUUCAUGAAGAUAUUCUCCUAUGUUUUCUUCUACAAGAAUUCACUAAGUUUAUUGUUUCACCUUUCCUUUUUGACUUACAAACCACCAGGAACUGAUUUUUUUUUUUACAUUUUUAUUUAAGUUCCGGGAUAUACACCUAGGUAUUAAGCCCCACAUGCAUUGUCUAUUUGUCCUGAUGCUAUCCUUUCCCUUGCUCCCCCCAACCACAGGCCCCGGUGUGUGUUGUUCCCCUCCCUGUGUCCAUGUGUUCUCAUCAUUCAGCUCCACUUAUGACAUGCGGUGUUUGGUUUUCUGUUCCUGUGUUAGUUUGCUGAGGAUGAUGUCUUCCAGCUUUAUCCAUGUCCCUGCAAAGGACGUGAUUUCAUUUCUUUUUAUGGCUGCAUAGUAUUCCAUGGUUUAUAUGUACCACACUUUCUUUAUCCAGUCUAUCACUGAUGAGCAUUUGAGUUGGUUCCAUGUCUUUGCUAUUGUGAAUAGUGCUGCAAUAAACAUAUGUGUGCAAUAAGCAAACAUUCAUUGUAAUAGAAUCAUUUAUAUUCCUUUGGGUAUAUACCCAGUAAUGGGAUUGCUGGGUCAAAUGGUAUUCCUGGAUAAACACAUUCGUUAUGAAGAAAGAUUAAAUAAAUUCUUCUCUAGUGUCAAGCUACUUUAAACUUGUUUUAAUUCAAGACUCUUCUGUGGUGCCUUCUAAUCUGUCUACAGACAGUCUAAUUUAAUUCAGUCUUAUUUAAUUCACAAGAGGCAGUAUCAGAAACUGGGAUUUCUUGGUAACUAAGAUUUAUAGUUAACUUUUUUUUUUUAAUUUUACUUUAAGUUCUGAGAUACAUGUGCAGAACAUUCAGGUUUGUUACAUAGGUAUACAUGUGCCAUGGUGGUUUGCUGCCCCUAUCAACCUGUCAUCUAGGUUUUAAGCCCUGCAUGCACUAGGUAUUUGUCCUAAUGCUCUCCCUCCCCUUGUCCCCAACCCCCCGACAGGCCCCAGUGUGUGAUGUUCCCCUCCCUGUGUCCAUGUGUUCUCAUUGUUCAACCUGAAUUUGAAUGUUGGCCUGUCUUGCUAGGUUGGGGAAGUUCUCCUGCAUAAUAUCCUGAAGUGUGUUUUCCAACGUGGUUCCAUUCUCUCAAUCACUUUCAGGUACACCAAUCAAUCGUAGGUUUGGUCUUUUCACAUAGUCCCAUAUUUCUUGGAGGCUUUGUUCGUUUUCAUUCCUUUUUCUCUAAUCUUGUCUUUGCCUCUUAUUUCAGUAAGUUGAUCUUCAAUCUCUGCUAUUCUUUCUUCUGCUUGAUCAAUUUGGCUAUUGAUAUUGUAUAUGCUUCAUGAAGUUCUCAUGCUGUGUUUUUCAGCUCCAUCAGGUCAUUUAUGUUCUUCUCUAAACUGGUUAUUCUAGUUAGCAGUUCCUGUAACCUUUUAUCAAGGUUCUUAGCUUCCUUGUGUUGGGUUAGAACAUGCUUCUUUAGCUUGGAGAGUUUGUUAUUACCAACCUUCUGAAGCCUACUUCUGUCAACUCGUCAAACUCAUUCUCUGUCCAGUUUUGUUCCCUUGCUGGCAAGGAGUUGUGUUCCUCUGGAGAAUAGGCAUUCUGGUUUUUGGAAUUUUCAGGCUUUCUGCUCUAGUUUCUCCCCAUCUUUGUGGUUUUAUCUACCUUUGGUCUUUGAUGUUGGUGACCUAUGGAUGGGGUUUUGGUGUGGAUGUCCUUUUUGUUAAUGUUGAUGCUAUUCCUUUCUGUUUGUUAGUUUUCCUUCUAACAGACAGGCCCCUCAGCUGCAGGUCUGUUGGAGUUUACUGGAGGUCCACUCCAGACCCUGUUUGCCUGGGUCUAUAGACCUGUCUGCUGCCUUUUGUUCAGAUAUGCCCUGCCCCAGAGGUGGAAUCUAGAGAGGCAGUAGGCCUUGCUGAGCUGUAGUGGGCUCCGCCCAGUGUGAGCUUCCUUGCCACUUUGUUUACACUGUGAGCAUAGAACCGCCUACUCAAGCCUCAGCAAUGGCAGACGCCCCUCCCCCCGCCAAGCUCCCACAUCCCAGGUCGAUCUCAGACUGCUGCGCUAGCAGCGAGCAAGGCUCCGUGGGUAUGGGACCUGCCAAGCCAGGCACAGGAGGCAGUCUCCUGGUCUGCUGAUUGGGAAGACCGUGGGAAAAGCGCAGUAUUUGGGCAGGAGUGUACAGUCACUCAGAGCUUCCCUUGACUAGGAAAGGGAAAUCCCCCGACCCCUUGCACCCAGGUGAGGCGACGCCCUGCCCUGCUUCAGCUCGCCCUCCGUGGGCUGCAGUCACUGUUCAACCAGUCCCAGUGAGAUGAACCAGGUACCUCAGUUGGAAAUGCAGAAAUCGCCCAUCUUCUGCGUCAAUCUUGCUGGGAGCUGCAGACUGGAGCUGUUCCCAUUUAGCCAUCUUGGAAGUGACCUCCCAAUUUCUUUUUAAUGAUAUAAAAUCUUUCCUAAGCAUCACUAGGAUCAGAAAAGCAAAUUUUUCAGAAAUUUCAAAAAUGUAGAGAAAAGGUUAGACAUUUUGUUAGGGAAGUAAAAAUAUAUACAAUUAUACACAUAUAAAAUUAUAUUUGUUCUGGAAUAUACAAUAUGUUAUUUGUAUUGCUCACUGUAGAUCUAGUGAUUGUAAGAACUUAUGUAGCAUUUUAUCAAGCCUCCCUAUCUCUUUAGAGACUUCAAAGACUUCAGAAAGGUAUGGAGAACAUCAAAUGUUGGUCAAGAUGGUAGUCAACAGGAACUCUCAAACAUUGAGAGUAGGCAUGUAAUUUGGUACAAGCAUCUGAGAAAACUGUUUGGCCUUAUCUAGUAAAGCUAAAGAUGUAUAGAUCCUAAGAUCUAGCAAUUCCAGUUGGAGGUAUCAACCCUGGAAAACCUUGCACUUUUGAGUCAGAAGAUGUAGACAACAAAACUCACAGCAGCAUUGUUUGUAACAGAGAGAACUAAAAACAACUCAAAUUACCAUCCACAGUAAAUAGAAUGAAUUACAAUAUAGUUAUACAAUGGAACCUUUUGUUUGUGCAAUUUAUUCAAGUGGUUGCAUGCGGCCACAGUUCAUUUCGUUCUCAAUAUAUGUUAUAAUAUAUAGAUGAUACAUGUAUGUGUGUAUAUAUAUAUUUCAUUGUGUGAAUAUACUACAUUUAAUUUUUCCAUUCCGUUGUCAUUUGACAUUGUCAACAUACAUUGCUUUACUUUUUUCUUUUAAAAAGUUGAGAUGAAAGAUAAUAUGAAAUUAAUCAUUUUACAGUGUGCACUUCAGUGGCAUUUUGUACAUUUACAAUGUUGUGCAACUACCACCUGUAUCUAGUUCUAAAACAUUUUCACCAGCCCAAAAGAAAACUUAUCUCUAUUAAGAAGUCAGUCCCUGCCGGGUGUGGUGGCUCCCACCUGUAAUCCCAGUACUUUGGGAAGCUGAGGCAUGUGGAUCAUCUGAGGUCAGGAGUUCGAGACCAGCCUGACCAACAUGGUAUAACCCCAUCUCUACCAAAAAUACAAAAUUAGCCGGGUGUGGUGGCAGGUGCCUGUAAUCCCAGCUACUUGGGAGGCUGAGGCAGGAAAAUCGCUUGAACCAUGGAGGAAGAGGUUUCAGUGAGCUGAGAUCGUGCCACUGCACUCCAGCCUGGACAACAUGAGUGAAACUCUGUCUCAAAAAAAAAAAAAAAAGUCAAUCCCCAUUCCUCCUUUUUCUCACAAAUACCAAUUAUGGGUUGUAAUACCUCAGAACUACCAAUUUGCUUCCUGUCACUAUUGAUUUAUCUGGAUUUAUACAAUAUGUGGCCUCUGUGUCUGGCUGCCUUCAAUUAGCAUCAUGUUUUCAAGGUUUAUCCACAUUGUAGUAUGUAUCAGUAUUUCAUUCCUUUUUACAGCUGAAUAACAUUCAACUAUACAAAUAUACCACAUUUUGUUUAUUGAUUCAUCAAUUGAUGGACAUCUGUCUGGGUUUUUCUACCUUUGGCUAAUGUGAAUAAUGCUGCUAUGAACAUUCAUGUACAAGUAUUUGAGUACCCAGUUUCAAUUCAACUGGGUAUAGACUUAGAAGUCAAAUUGUAGCAGAAUUGUAGGCCAAGUGUAGUGGCUCAUAUCUAUAAUCCCAGCACUUUGGAAGCCAACGUGGGAAUAUCUCUUGAGUCCAGGAGUUUGAGACCAGCCUCAUUUAUUUGGUUGAGCCACAGGUGAGCAGUCUCUCAAAACAAAAGUGAAUGCAGAGCCUUGCCUAACAGUGCAAAGCCAGCUGCUUAUAUAUCUGGCUCCUGCGACAGUCUGAUUUGAUUGGUGAGGAUGAUGGGGUGCUGGGCAUAUGGGUGGCCGAAAUUAUCAAGGACCGUGGAGUAAAAUGUAGCGGUUUCCACUGGGGAAGAAAAAGAAGGACUUCCGGGUUUGGAUGCUCAAUGGGAGGUACCCAGGGGAGGAAGCUGGGUAUCUGAUGCUCAGGUAUCAAUACUGGGGUGGCAUCAAUACAGGAGUGGACAGCAAGAGGGAAAUAUCAUCCUCAACACCCUCAGCAUUCCCUGUGAGCCAACCUCCCUGCCACUCUGCAUUCCCCACACUUCCAGCUGGUGAACAGCAGUCUCCUGUUGGCUGUUGCUAUAAUUCAUAACUUGGGCACACAUUAAGCUCCUUGGUCUCUGAUCCCUUAGGGGAAAAAGGCAACCAAAUGCAACUGAUGAGGUCUGGGUAAAGUCUUCAGUGGGGAAGAGAGGCUAAAGUGACACUGCAGGUGGAGCCUACAAAGUUUGCCAAUAUCUGCCUUAGUCAACAAACAACACGUCCUUGGUCAAGGCAUAUUAUAUUUUUACUGACUCUUGGGCUGUUGACAAUGUUACCUGGUCUGCCACUUGGAAGAAAACAAACUAGCGGAUUACAGACACUCCUCUUUAGGACUGUGAACUGUGAAAACAAAUCACAGCAGAGAAUCAGACAGAUGUCCAUGGUAAUGGCUCAUUCUCUAAUGGAAUAGACUGCAAUGAUGCUGCUAAUCAAGUAUACACCAUCCAGACUGCUGCCACUGCUGCCAGGAUCAGCAGUCUGCACACUGUAACAACACACUGCACAUAGCAACAUUAUCUGCCAUCAUGGCCUAGGAACAGAGUAAAGAUUACAUGUAUCUGACGCUACCAUUGCAUGCUGGUCUUGUGCUUCCUUUCAAAAGUCAGCCUGUUUUGUCUCAGUGAAAUAGACCGUAUUUUAUGGUGUGUGGUCCCUCUUACUUCUGACAAGUUGACUAUAUCAGGCCUUUGACACACACACACACACACACACACACACACACACACACACACACACCUGGGGCUAUUGUUAAUGUGUUACAGUUGUUGACAUUUUUUCGGGUUAUGGUUUCAUUGUUCCAGUCUGUUCAACCAACGCCAGUCACACUGAUCAAAAUGUGUUAUGUUUUUGGUUUUCCAGACCACUUUCACUCUGACAAUGAUAUGUCUUUUACUGCGCAGAGGUUGCUCAACAAUGAGCCAAUAAGUCAAGGUAUUCAACGGAUAUUUCACACCCCUUAUCAUCCUUAGGGUGUUGGCUCCAACAAGAAGUAAAACGGACUUUUAAAAAAUCCACUAAAAGAAAUUUCUGACUCUACCUCCUUCACACUCUCCUGGUCCAUGCAUCUUAGUAAGACCACUGCGAUCUCGGCUCACUGCAAGCUCCGCCUCCUGGGUUCACACCAUUCUCCUGCCUCAGCCUCCUGAGUAGCUGAGACUACAGGCGCCCGCCACUAUGCCCGGCUAAGUUUUUGUAUUUUUAGUAGAGACAGGGUUUCACCAUGUUAGCCAGGAUGGUCUCGAUCUCCUGACCUCGUGAUCCACCCGCCUCGGCCUCCCAAAGCAGACCACUUUCACUCUGACAAUGAUAGGUCUUUUACUGCAAAGGUUGCUCAACAAUGAGCCGAUAGUCAAGGUAUUCAACAGAUGUUUCACACCCCUUAUCAUCCUCAGGCUGCUGCCAUUUCUUUAUGUGUUGUCUGUGGCUGCUUGUGUUCUACAAUGGCAGAGCUGAGUAACUGUGUCAGAGGGUGUGUAGCCUACAAAGCUGAAAAUAUUACUCUCUGGCCCUUCACAGAAAGGUUACCAACUCCUGCCCUAGAUAACAAAGAUAACUACCACUUGGUUGAGGAUACUGCUCACCAAGUACCCCUACAGUGACCCACACCAGUCAAGCAAGGAAACAAGGUACCUGAAACUGCCGAAACAAAACAGCACAUAAGGAGAGACUACUGUAUUUUGCUUUAUGCAAGAUUUCAGGCUUUUAGCUGCUAAGAGAGAGGCCACUGCCAGUAACAGCCGGGGCGCCGAGCUGUCAAGGCUGACGGAGGAAUGGACGCUCAUCGCGCAGCGGAGUGUUGGAGGGGCAAGCCCGCCAAGAGACCCACUUUGCACAACUGUCCUCAGCCAGGAAACGACAGAUCAGGAACCCAGGGACAGAAACACACGCGGGGCCUCUUCAGAGGUCGGCGGGGGGGGUGGGAAAGGGGCGGGGAGGAAGAGCAGCGCAGGGCCUGGCCGUUUGGAGGAGGUGCUGGGGCGGCGCGAAGGGAGGCGGGACAGGGUAGACUCACAGAUCCAGGAGCUGACUGACCCGCCGUGGGCGAGGCAUCGCUGCAGCGUCUGAAGCCUCUUCCGCGGUCCCAGGGCCUCCAGAACCCAGCCAGGGACCGUCCGCCAACUCCCGCCCACCGCGCGACGCGUAGGUUUUUGUGACGUCACACGGAUUUUUCCGGUGACCGGGGCGUGGCCACGCUUCGGACUCCACAAGGAAAGAAGAGAGCCCCCUUUGGGGCGGAGCCACUGAGGGCUGCGCGGAAGAGGCUGGGUGUGAUAAACUAUAAAGAGGCCCUAAACUCGGAUGCAACGUGACGGGAGUUGUAGUUCUUUCACCUGGCGGGCGUCUGCUCCGGUUCAGCUGCAGGAGGUUUCUUGGGAGUUCAGCCCAGCGCGCAGCCCCGCCGCGACGCCGCGAGCCGAGAACUCUCCUGGGGCGAAGGGAGCGCUGAGAAGUCGCUACUCUUACUAAAAGGAUGCGUUGGAUGCUGGGCCAUACCCUUGGCGAUGCACACUGGAGACCCGCUCGGAUACGGACUCCAUUAACAUCAAACGGAGCGUGUUAGAGGAUCCGAGUUUACUGAGCACUUUCUAGGAAGCGUGCACUGAGCUACGUGCUUUCUAGGCCUUAGUUCAAUACUUAACCAUAUUCAUUAUAAUCCGGUGAAAUCGUAAUUAUUUAGCCUUAUUUUACAGAUGAGGACACUGCGUACCAACAAGUAACCUCACUAAGAAUUUCGUCAUGGAGGAGAAGGGAACCUGUAUUCAAAUUAGGAAGGAUCCUGAAGAAAGGGCACCUUUAGGUGGAAUUUUAUCUUUGGUUCUGCUGCAGAGUACUUGCUGCUUUUUAGUGCUCCCUCCACCCCCCUCAUUCUUCCUUGUAGAUUAGUCUGUUGUUUGUAUGCUGAGUUCCUUUUUUAAGCUCCUUGAAAGUUGGAACCCACUGCUGUUGCCUGUUCAGGAUGCUACACAUUGAAUCAACAUGGAUUUAUUAAGCGCUGAACGAGGGCUAGGGAUCGUGCUGGGUGCUGAGGAUUGAGUGGCGAACACUUGGGUCAGACAAGUAAAAGGGCAAUUAGAAUAACUGUUAAAUGCUUAGAUGGGGUUAGUUCUAUGGAAGCACCCAUGGGGGUGGGAUACAGAUCAGAGAGAAAAGGGUGGUCUGCAAAUAGUUUGGGAUGGCUACACUGGAGAGUGAUCAAGAGUGAGUGUAGGGCAGGGGUUGGCCGACUUUUUCCAUAAAGUGCUCUGAAAGUUGCAGAUUCCAGGAGAAGUAACUAUUGUCAGACCCAGACAAAUUGGAGCCUAGAGACCAGAAAGGAAGGAAACUCAUGCUUGUAUGUCUGAGAUAAGAACUGUCUCAAGGCCAGACGCGGUGGCUCACACCUGUAAUCCUAGUACUUUGGGAGGCCGAGGCGGGCGGAUCACGAGGUCAGGAGUUUGAGACCAGCCUGGCCAACGUGGUGAAAUUCCCGUCUCUACUAAAAAUACAAAAAAAAAAAAAAAAAACUGGGUGUGGUGGCGGGCGCCUGUAAUCCCAGCUACUGAGGAGGCUGAGGCAGGAGAAUCGCUUGAACUCGGAGGAGGUUAUAGUGAGCCGAGAUCGUGCCACUGCACUCCAGCCUGGGCGACAGAGCAAGACUCCGUCUCAAAAAAAAAAAAAAAGAAAGAACGAACUGCCUCAAGGACUUUAAAAAAUAAACCAAAAAACCCACAAUUUCUUCACAUCUUUCAUGCAUUUAAUGUUUUGCACAACUUGCUUGUUUUGCAAAUAUGCGCACAUUUCUAUGACAAGAUUUAUUGCUAAAUAUUCUUUAAAACUGCAGCAGUUCAGAUAAGAUACUGUCGAAAGGACGUUUGGCCCAGCAGCAGGACCUCCACCAAUGAACGGACUCCAAUUCUUGAUUUGAGCCUUGGGAACCAAUCAACUUAGUUUCCAAGAGUUUAUGUGAACUUCCCUCCUUUACCAGUAAAAUCUUCCCCCUAUUCUUCCCUUCUCCAGACCCGUGGCUUGCCAUAGCUGUACAUCUUGGAUUAUAAUUCUUUUUGUUCACUCCCAAAGAAACUCAGUAUCUUUGGAGAAUUCUUUCUUUGUUGUCUUUUAGCUUCCCAGAGCCAAACAAGAAAUAUUUUAGGUUUUGUGGGUCAUGCUGGCUUGGUCACAGCUAUUCAACUUGUAUCUUAAAAUUAGCCAUAGACAGUAUGAAUGGGUGGGUCUCUGUUCCAAUAAAACCUUAUCCUAAACACUGAAGUUUGAAUUUUAUGUAAUUUUCAACUGUCAUGAAAUACUCAUCUUUUGAUCUUUUUCAGCCACUGAAAAAUGUAAAAGCCAUCCUUAAGUUGCAAGCUAUACAAAAACAGACAGUGGACUGGAUUUGACCCUUGAGCCAUUUGUCCAUGUGCCCUCACCUGAUCUAGAAAGCUAAAAUGCACAUGCCUCACGCCUGUAAUCCCAGCACUUUGGGAGGCCAAGGUGGGCGGAUCAGCUGAGGUUAGGAGUUCGAGACCAGCCUGGGCAAUAUGGAGAAACUCUACUAAAAGUACAAAAAAAUUAGCUGGGCGUGGUGGCAGGUGCCUGUAAUCCCAGCUACUCAGGAGGCUGAGGCAGGAGAAUUGCUUGAACCCAGGAGGCGGAGGUUGCACUGAGCCGAGAUCACACCACUGUACUCCAGCCUGGGCAACAAGAGUGAGACUCUACCUCAAAAAAAACAAAGAAAUUACGAAUUUUAAGAUGGUGAUAGCAGAGCACUAAACCCAGAGUGGGGCCCGUGUGACUGCACAUUUUGCCCACCCAUGAAGCCAGCCCUGGGUGCGUCCAACUUCAGGAUUCCCCCCCCCAAAAAUCAGUUCAGGAACCCUAUGUCAAAAUAAAAAUCAAAGACAAAUAUGAGCACAGAGAGACAUUUUUACUUGCAGUUCAAGAAAAUCAGACUUUCAGAGAGUGGCUCGCUAAAUAGAAUAGAGGAAUUUAUAGCUCAGAUGAAAUGGCAGAUAUUUAUAGCUCAGAUAUGGCAGUUCAUUCCAAUUGGAUAAGAACAAGAUGUUCCUGUUUUGUGGUAAGGAAAACAGGAUGUUCUUGUUUUUGUGGCUUAUCUCUGGAGGCAAAGCUUUUAGGAUUUCCCGUUAGUCAAGGCUUUUAGGAGGUUCCCGCUAUUCAUGGUUUAUCUUUGAAUGCAAAGUUAUUGGGAAUGAAAGUCUUUUCUAGUGUAUGGUAAGUGAUUUGUAGGCAGGGUUAGGCUAAGGGCAAGAUAUUUUCCUUUUCUCCUCUCUGUUUGCUGUGCCCACUUUAAUAUAGUUUCCUCUAGCUCAGAAUCUCCUCCACUUCCUACCAUAGCUACCAUACAAAGUAAACGUUAUCAUAGAUUGUUGCUGUGGGUUUGUUUUACUUUACUCCAGGCUGGAGUGCAGUGGCGCAAUCUCGGCUCACUGCAACCUCUGCCUCUCGGAUUCAAGCAAUUCUCCCGCCUCAGCCUCCCAAGUAGCUGGGAUUACAGGCAUGUGCCACCAUGCCAGGCUAAUUUUUUUUUUUUUGUAUUUUUAGUAGAGACGAGGUUUCACCAUAUUGGCUAGGCUGGUGUCGAACUCCUGACCUUGUGAUCCACCUACCUCGACCUCCCAAAGUGCUGGGAUUACAGGCGUGAGCCACCGUACCCGGCCUCUGGGUUUGUUUUAUAAAAAUAAUUAACAAAAUUACUUUUCUUAAAUCAUGCUGUUAAUUCAUAAUGUAAUAUAUGAGCUGUAUGUGGACCCAUGUUUUAAAAUACAAUAAAUAUAUAUAAAACAAGUAUAUCUUAUUUAUAUGAAUGUGUGCUUUCACAAGAACAGAACGGAGCUAAGCCAAGUGAGCCCCUACUUUAUUAUCCUACCAUGUGUAGGUUAUUUUCAAAUAGGAUUGCUCUUAACUCUCCAAGUGUCCUUUGAGAAAAUAACACGUCUUUUUAUUUAGUUUCUUUUCAUAGCUUGUUUUAUAAUAUCACACUCCAAAUUGGAAAUAACAGUGCCCAUGCUCAUGGAUUGUUAUACAUUGUUGAAAUUUCCCAUUGGCUAGAAACACUUGCUUUGUUUCUAGGUUAGAGAUCUGUGACUUUCAAAUUCUCAGGAGUCUGAGUCAUACAAUGGAUGACUCAGGAUCCAAGCAGGUUAAGAGUUGGGCAAGUUCAAACAGGAGAAGCAAGGAGAUGUUAAUAAAGGAGCUGUUCCCAAAGGUGUGGACAGAGUUAGGGCAGAGCAAGGGUAAAGGUAGUUCAAUACCAUAGCGCUACAAUAGCAGGAAGACCUUACCUCUUCUGGUCCUGGAGGGCAAAACCAAAACCUUGCCAGAGUGACCACAGGUGAAGCCACCUGAAAGGAACUGUGGCCUUUGAAUUUGUAACCGCCUAAGGGGUUCACCUUGCCCCCUGCCUAGAAAGAACUGAUUCAUCAAGACGGGGGAAUUACAAUAGAGAAAGAGUAAUUCACACAGAGCCAGCUGUGCGGGAGACAGUUUUAUUAUUACUCAAAUCAGUCUCCCCAAGCAUUUGGGGAGCAGAGUUUUUUUUUGUUUGUGUUUUUUUUUCAGAGUCUUGCUCUGUCACCCAGGCUGGAGUGCAGUGGCGCUGUCUUGGCUCACUGCAACCUCUGCCUCCUGGGUUCAAGUGAUUCUCCUGCCUCAGCCUACCAAGUAGCUGAGAUUACAGGCAUGUGCCACCACGCCCGGCUAAUUUUGUAUUUUUAAUAGAGACGGGGUUUCACUAUGUUGGUCAGGCUGGUCUCGAACUCCUGACCUCGGGUGAUCCACCCACCUCAACCUCCAAAAGUGCUGGGAUUACAGGUGCGAGUCACCACGCCCAGCCAGGAGCAGAAUCUUUAAGGAUAAAUUGGUGGGUUGGGGGAAGCCAGUGACCCGGGAGUGCUGAUUGGUCAGGACGGAAAUGAAAUCAUAGGGAGUUGAAGCUGUCUUCUUGUGCUGAGUCACUUCCUGGGUGGGAGCCACAAGAUCAGAUUAGCCAGUUUAUCCAUCUGGGUGGUGCCAGCUGAUCCGGCAAUUGCAGGGUCUGGAAAAUAUCUCAAGCACUGAGAUAUUUGAAGAAAAUCUUGAAGCCUCUAGUUGCAUGACUCUUAAACCAUAAUUUCUAAUCUUGUAGCUAAUGUUAGUCCUACAAAGGGAAUCUAGUCCCCAGGCAAGAAGGAGGUGUGCUUUGGGAAAGGGCUGUUAUCAUCUUUGUUUUAAACUAUAAGUUUCUCUCAAAGUUAGUUCAGCCUAUGCUGAACGAACAAGGAGGUUAGAAGCAAGAUGGAGUCGGUUAAGUUAAAACUCUUUCACCGUCUCAGUGAUAAUUUUGCAAAGGCGGUUUCAGUUUGAUAAGGCAACCUAGCCAGCCUGUUGUGAUCCAGCCAGGAAGGGGCUACAGGAAUACCCUUCAAGCUCCAUUCUUCAUCCCCUUUUUGAUGUCCUGCUGUCGGCUGUCAUUGCUUCAGCCAACCAGAAGUUAGAGCUCAAAGCAUCCCCGUUUAUGCGAUCAAUAAAAGUCAGCUUCUCAGAGCCUAGAGUAGAGAAGGAGAGAAAUUAGAAAAUAAGUAACUCAUCAACAGAUUACUGAUUUUUUUGGUAAAGGGAUUAAAUAUCAAAAACAUUUUGAAAAUUAAUAAGAAU